GGAUUAGAUACCCUGGUAGUCCUGGCCGUAAACGAUGGGCACUAGAUAGAGGGAGUUCCUAUGCUCUCUCUGUCGUAGCUAAUGUGUUAAGUGCCCCGCCUGGGGAGUACGCUCGCAAGGGUAAAACUCAAAGGAAUUGACGGGGGAUCACACAAGCGGUGGAGCAUGUGGUUUAAUUCGAAGCAACGCGAAGAACCUUACCCGGCCUUGACAUGCACGGAUUAGCUCCCUGAAAGGGGAGUGACGCCUCUUCGGAGGUGGAACGUGUGCAGGUGUUGCAUGGCUGUCGUCAGCUCGUGCUG
rnacentral:rRNA from 1 species